rnacentral:rRNA from 1 species
CGUGAGUAACCUGCCUUGGAGUGGGGAAUAACAGCUGGAAACAGCUGCUAAUACCGCAUAAUGCAGUUGGGUCGCAUGGCUCUGACUGCCAAAGAUUUAUCGCUCUGAGAUGGACUCGCGUCUGAUUAGCUAGUUGGUGGGGCAACGGCCCACCAAGGCGACGAUCAGUAGCCGGACUGAGAGGUUGGCCGGCCACAUUGGGACUGAGACACGGCCCAGACUCCUACGGAAGGCAGCAG